rnacentral:rRNA from 1 species
GAUGAACGCUGGCGGCGUGCCUAAUACAUGCAAGUCGAGCGAACAGAUCAGGAGCUUGCUCCUCUGACGUUAGCGGCGGACGGGUGAGUAACACGUGGAUAACCUACCUAUAAGACUGGGAUAACUUCGGGAAACCGGAGCUAAUACCGGAUAAUAUAUUGAACCGCAUGGUUCAAUAGUGAAAGACGGUUUUGCUGUCACUUAUAGAUGGAUCCGCGCCGCAUUAGCUAGUUGGUAAGGUAACGGCUUACCAAGGAAACGAUGCGUAGCCGACCUGAGAGGGUGAUCGGCCACACUGGAACUGAGACACGGUCCAGACGCCUGCGGGAGGCAGCAGUAGGGAAGCUUCCGCAAUGGGCGAAAGCCUGACGGAGCAACGGCGCGUGAGUGAUGAAGGUCUUCGGAUCGUAAAGCUCUGUUAUUAGGGAAGAACAAAUGUGUAAGUAACUAUGCACGUCUUGACGGUACCUAAUCAGAAAGCCACGGCUAACUACGUG